rnacentral:rRNA from 1 species
AGAGUUUGAUCCUGGCUCAGAUUGAACGCUGGCGGCAUGCCUUACACAUGCAAGUCGAACGGCAGCACGGGAGCAAUCCUGGUGGCGAGUGGCGAACGGGUGAGUAAUAUAUCGGAACGUGCCCAGUCGUGGGGGAUAACGCAGCGAAAGCUGUGCUAAUACCGCAUACGAUCUACGGAUGAAAGCGGGGGACUCGCAAGAGCCUCGCGCGAUUGGAGCGGCCGAUAUCAGAUUAGCUAGUUGGUGGGGUAAAAGCCCACCAAGGGCGACGAUCUGUAGCUGGUCUGAGAGGACGACCAGCCACACUGGAACUGAGACACGGUCCANACUCCUACGGGAGGCAGCAGUGGGGAAUUUUGGACAAUGGGCGCAAGCCUGAUCCAGCAAUGCCGCGUGCAUGAUGAAGGCCUUCGGGUUGUAAACUGCUUUUGUNCGGAACGAAACGGNUCUACCCCUAAUACGGUGGGGCUAAUGACGGGUACCGUANGAAUAAGCACCGGCUAACUACGUGCCAGCNGCCGCGGNUAAUACGUAGGGUGCGAGGCGUUGAUCGNAAUUACUGGGGCGUAAAGCGUGCNCAGGCGGNUAUGUANGACAGAUGUGAAAUCCCCGGGCUCAACCUGGGACCUGCNUUUGUGACUGCAUNGCUAGAGUACGGUAGAGGGGGAUGGAAUCCCCCGNUGUAGCAGGGAGANGCGUUAGAUAUGCGGGNGGAANACCGAUGGGCG